GAUGAACGCUGGCGGCGUGCCUAAUACAUGCCAGUCGAGCGAACAGACCAGGAGCUUGCUCCUCGGACGUUAGCGGCGGACGUGUGAGUAACACGUGUAUAACCUACCUAUAAGACUGGGAUAACUUCGGGAAACCGGAGCUAAUACCGUAUAAUAUAUUGAACCGUAUUGUUCAAUAGUGAAAGACGGCUUUGCUGUCACGUAUAGAUGGAUCCGCGCCGCGUUAGCUAGUUGGUAAGGUAACGGCUUACCAAGGCAACGAUGCGUAGCCGACCUGAGAGGGGGAUCGGCCACACUGGAAGUGAGACACGGUCCAGACUCCUACGGGAGGCCGCAGUCGGGAAUCUUCCGCAAUGGGCGAAAGCCUGGCGGAGCAACGCCGCGUGAGUGAUGAAGGUCUUCGGAUCGUGAAACUCUGUUAUUAGGGAAGAACAAAUGUGUACGUAACUAUGCACGUCUUGACGGUAACUAAUAAGAAAGCCCCGGCUAACUACGUG
rnacentral:rRNA from 1 species